AUAAUAAUAAUAAUAAUAAAAAAGAGUGACCGAAUCAAAAUCGCAAUAAACCCUCUUUGUUUGGUUGCUGAGAGAAACGGAAGAAAACAGACAAUCUGCUAACGAACUGGAAUUGAAAUGGGUUCACGAGGAGCCAGUGUAUUGCUGUCGAGGGCACACAGAAUCAAGUCAAAGCUUCAAUCUGCACUGGAAGCCAGCGUUUUAGAAGUGGAAGAUGUUUCCUAUAAGCAUGCAAGCCAUCCUGCUGUUAAAGACAAUGCGAAUGAGACUCAUUUCAAUGUCAAGAUUGUGUCCGAGAAGUUCAAUGGGCAAAACCUCGUGAAGCGCCAUAGAAUGGUCUAUGAUCUGUUGGCAGAUGAGCUUCAGUCUGGUUUGCAUGCUCUCUCUAUUGUGGCAAAGACUCCCAAAGAAACUGGCGGUAAUUGAUAACCUAUGUUGUGCCCAUAUAAAAAGCAUAGGAGAUGCAGUUGGAGUCCAUUUUUCUUCAUCGACAUGGCAAUUCACUAGCGCGGAUCCAGUGUAGUUUUCUUUCAUCUUCUUUUUUUUUUUCUUUUUUAUUUAUUGGUAAGAAAAAGCAAAUUGAUGGAUGAAAUGGAUCCAAAGUUAUUAGAUCUAAAAGCUCAUAAUGUUUUAAUUAUGUAGACCACAUCUUUCUGCACCAUGUUUUGAAUGUUUAUGCUAGUUAUACUCUUGAGCUUACUGCUCAACAAA